CCUACGGGAGGCAGCAGUGAGGAAUAUUGGUCAAUGGACGAGAGUCUGAACCAGCCAAGUAGCGUGAAGGAUGACUGCCCUAUGGGUUGUAAACUUCUUUUAUAUGGGAAUAAAAUGUUCCACGUGUGGGAUUUUGUAUGUACCAUAUGAAUAAGGAUCGGCUAACUCCGUGCCAGCAGCCGCGGUAAUACGGAGGAUCCGAGCGUUAUCCGGAUUUAUUGGGUUUAACGGGAGCGUAGGUGGAUUGUUAAGUCAGUUGUGAAAGUUUGCGGCUCAACCGUAAAAUUGCAGUUGAAACUGGCAGUCGUGAGUACAGUAGAGGUGGGCGGAAUUCGUGGUGUAGCGGUGAAAUGCUUAGAUAUCACGAAGAACUCCGAUUGCGAAGGCAGCUCACUGGACUGCAACUGACACUGAGGCUCGAAAGUGUGGGUAUCAAACAGGAUUAGAUACCCCGGUAGUA
rnacentral:rRNA from 1 species